AAAGGGGCUUCGGCUCCGAGUAAAGUGGCGCACGGGUGAGUAACACGUGGGUAACCUGCCUCUAAGACUGGGAUAACCUGUCGAAAGACGAGCUAAUACCGGAUAAGACCACAGCUCCUGAGGGAACAGCGGUCAAAGGUAGCCUCUGCAUGCAAGCUAUCACUUAGAGAUGGGCCUGCGCACCAUUAGCUAGUUGGUAGGGUAACGGCCUACCAAGGCAAAGAUGGUUAGCUGGUCUGAGAGGAUGAUCAGCCACACUGGAACUGAGACACGGUCCAGACUCCUACGGGAGGCAGCAGUGGGGAAUAUUGCGCAAUGGGCGAAAGCCUGACGCAGCAACGCCGCGUGAGUGAUGAAGGCCUUCGGG
rnacentral:rRNA from 1 species